GACAUGCAUCAAGAGUAGAGUUAAGUCUCUCUCCAACCUGCCACUCCGGCAAGGUGGAAAAAAAGAUGUGGUUAACCAACAAAUAAUGGAGUUAAA
rnacentral:ncRNA from 10 species